rnacentral:lncRNA from 1 species
UUUAUUAUUAUUAAACUAAAGUUCUCAUCAAAACGUUUACCAAUUUGUUUUCCUUUGGUAUAUUACCUCAUUUAAAAUCGCGGAAGCAUUUUGAAAACUUUGUUGUUGGAAGCUCGUGUUCCUUAGAAGAAUCAUGCCAUUUUGAAAUCUCGAGUUUUCCUAGACUAGCAGUUUAGUAUAAGAAAUCACAAUCCAAAUUAAAACUUAAAACCCACCAACGGCCUUAUUACAUAAAUUAAAAACCCAAAACGAAAUCUAAUUGCAAUUAAAAGAAACAGAAACAGUAGUGUGGCCAUCUCCGAGUCCCUCGCAGCUCCAAACCAUCUAAGCUUAGGGAUUACCUGCAUAGUUAGAAAUAGGUGAUUUUACGAAAACUCAGUGUGUAAUCCCAAUAACAAACAAACAGUGAAUAACACGGUAUCAGUAAAAUCUGGGCCAAAGCCCUAUUCAUUCUCGACAUAUACUGGGCCGAAGCCUUUCGUUUAACGGUUACUAGGCUGAAGCCUUUUCAUAAAUCAUAUCACUGGGCCGAAGCCUUUACUGUAAAUGGUAUGGCCCAUAGGCCCAUUUCAAAAUCACAUGAAAUACCAAUGAAUGUAUGCAAGCCCAUUUGGGGAGACUACUCAACCCACCAUCCGCUACUCUCCACCCGUACCAACCAAGCUCUCCAUGUGGGGAAUAACUCAACCACCCAACCAAACUCUCCACUGGUAGCAUAGCUUCUUUGUCAUAUAACUAGAGGCCUAACCUCUUUUAAUAACUGGGGCAAAGCCCUUUUCGGUAAACUGGGGCAAAGCCCUUUUAGCACUUCCUCUAUUUAUAAAACUCAACCCAUGCAACAUGUCAUGUAUGCAGAAUGUCAUGCCCAUAUUUGAAUCAAACAAUCACAGUCAAGUCAUUCAUAUCACCAACAUAUAUUCACAAUCAAAUCCGUCAACCACACAGUCCAAGUCAGUCACUUGCUCACAAGGGCAAAACAGUCAUUUAACACCCUACGGGCAAAAUGGUAAUUUUACCUAAGGGUAUCUUGGUAAUUCUAUCAUACAGGGUAAUUUCAGUAUUUCUACCCUACAAGGGUAUUUUAGUAAUUCUACCCUAUAGGGGUAUUUUAGUAAUUCUACCCUACAGGGGUAUUUCGGUAAUUCUAACCUACAGGGGUAUUUCGAUAAUUCUAACCUACAGGGGUAUUUCGAUAUUUUACAAAUCGAGAGUAAUUCGAUAUUUUACAAAUCGAGAGUAUUUCGAUAAUUUCACAAAUCAGGGGUAUUUUGGUAAUUUUACAAGCCAGGGGUAUUUUAGUAAUUUUACAAACCAGGGGUAUUUUGGUAAUUUUACAAGCCAGGGGUAUUUUAGUAAUUUUACAAACCAGGGGUAUUUUUGGUAAUUUUACUGAUCGAAGGUAUUUUGGUAAUUUUGUAAACCAAAGGUAUUUUAGUAAUUUUAUAAAUCGAGGGUGAAACAAUAAUUCUAUAAAUCGAGGGUAAAAUGGUAAUUCUAUAAAUCGAGGGUAAAAUGGUAAUUCUGUAAAUCGAGGGUAAAACAGUAAUUCUGUAAAUCGAGGGUACUUUGGUAAUUUUACAAAUUGAGGGCAUUUCAGUAAUUUGGUAAACUAAAGUAUUCUAAACAGGGAUAACAAUACGAAUGGGCUUAAAGUCUAUUCUCGGCCCAAAUGGGCCCACACGCUCGUGUGGCCCUUUUAGCCCAAAUCUAGCCACAAAUAUGAGAUUCACCUAGCCUAGUCCAAUAUUUACUACACAAUCAAACAACUUAUCCAAUUGGACCCGUAGGCCCAUUGGGCCCACAUGGCCUCUUUCGGCCCAUCGUGGCCCGAAGUAGCCAUCCUACAGCUAGAGUACUGAGAAAUACACACCUGAUAGGAGACUGGAGUUAAUCCACGCUCCGAGCACUCUUAGCCGACGCCCAACCCAAACGAGCACGCCAUAAAGCGAAAGGGAU